CCUGACUUCAAAUGACCCUCGACCCAAAAUCAGUCCUAGACCCGAUGGUUAGGAACCUCUGCUGUUCAGCUACAUGACCUGUAGUAGUGAUAAAAUGCGAAAGGUGGUUGAAUAGGUUACACUUCUCAAGUCAAUGAAAAUGUAUUAUUCUUGAUCCUUUUCUGAAAAAAAAAUAUGCGCACAUUUAUUUAAAAAAAAUAAAAUAAACCAUACGAUUAUAAGAAUCAGAAUGAUUUGUUGGAAUAUUUGUGGGUUUAAAUGUUUACAGGUGUACAGGUACUCACAGAAACUGCAGUAUCUGCAUUAGAAGCCCAGUACAUUUCUUAUCUAGGGUUGAUUUUUUUUUUUUUUAUAACUCUUAAGCUCCUUCAGCCGUAGCAUCUACAGUCUAUAGAUAGUAUUCUUCUAACCUGGAUGCUCUGGUGAAGAUGGUUCACGGUAACCAUGGUAACAAGAGCAAGGCUUUAUUUUAUUUUUACAUUAACUUAUCCACCAACAUCCUGCUUCAGUUACACGUCUUCCACUCUUUUAAGGCUGUGUUUACGUGGUUCCUCCUCUUUGUACUCACUCUUUUAAUCAUCUUGAUUUUCUACUAACGACUAGUUACCUGGUUUGACCACAAGGAGUUUUUUCUCAACAGCUUUGCUUUGAAUCUUUUGGUGGACAAAAAGAAAAUGUCAUCCUAUGCUUAGGUUUCGGCUUCUUGUGGCUAACCAUUAGGCGUGUGCUAUAUUUCUUGCUACCUUGUUUCUGUUUCUAGGAUGCGCUUUGAUCCGAUGGUUAAAAUGUGGCAAAUUGUAUCUAAAAUUGACUAACUUUUAGCUUACUUUUAGCAGUUCCAGGGAUCAUUUAGUUACAUUUGCUGUGUAUUGGCUAACCUUUGGCUUCUGUGUGGCUAACCUUUAGUUGUCUUUGGGCUGUGUUUGUUCUGCUAAUUUGCGUUCACUACAAGCUUAAGGCUAUUUUCCCAUUAACUUGUUAAUGUUUUCUCUUAUCUACAUUUACUUAGAUUUUUUUUUUUUUAGGUACUUUUUUUGGCUGUAAUUCCCAGCAUUUUCCAUCUAAAUUACCUUGUUGAUUCAAACUUGUUCAUCUCUGCUCUGGGCCUUAUUUACAUGGUGGAACAGUAUUUUGUAACCUGAAAAUGCUCUGUCGUAAUCAUUGUGUCGCGUCAGUAACUGCUGUUUAUUUUACUAAUGAUUAAAUCUGUAUAUUCAACAAAACUUUAAAUAUCUUUCAGCUUUAGCUAAGCUAUCUGUUCUUUGGCUAAGUGAGCCACGGCUAACUAAGCGUAGCUAACUUUAUAUCAUAUAGGCUGCCUGUAUUUUUCUAAGCUGUGUGAAGUGACGCUGUUGUUAGAUUAGAUAAAAGCAACAUUUCCGUAGAAAUUAUCUUCAUUUUAAUGGUAAUUAAGUGAUAAUGAUCGGGACAGUUGAUUUCACAGUGUCAGCCCUUUCCCCCCCUCCCCACACAUUUAUGCUCCAUAACAACAUUGUGCAACAGUGCCAUUCUUUACCUCUGACCUGGGACCAGCAGUUGUCACCGCCUCAUGAUCACUGACAAUGAAACAGCGUCUGACUUUUAUUAGUUUAGACUGAGAUGAUCCAGGACUCCCAGGUUCUCAUUAGGACGCCACAUGACUGAGUGGAUUAUUGUCUGCCUGAGGGAUUAGAUUUAUAUGGUCAUCUGAUUUUGGCUACGAAAAAUCUGCAUCUCCGCCAACUCGUUAAAACCCGUCCAAAUCCAAAAAAACACUGUUUGAGCAGCGCUCAAGGAAACUGUCGUCUGACGUCCAUCAAACAUUUGAGGCUAAACUGACAAAAACACAGCGGCUGGCGCAGAUCUUUCAAUACCCGUUCAAUACGGGAAUUAUGAGCUGGACAUAUUGUUCUUUGUAGUUUUCCAGCUCUGCCAGAGAACCACCCACGGAAAACACCCACAUAUUCACACGCACAGCUAGAAAAAGACAGCAGAGAAGAAGGAGAAAACAAAAAAAGGAGCAAAUGACGAGAUGAGUCUCACAGAAAAUAAAUAUAAAAACAAUCAUCGACAGCACAGAGAGUUAACCAGCUAAUUAGUACAAAUGACACAGGACUUUGGGGUAAACAGCCUUUUAAAUAUCUGGCAGAGAGAAUAUACCGGAACUGACAUCGGUUUAAUUAACGUUAUUAUAGUGGAAUCAAACGACAGUUGAAGGUAGUCACGUGAUUUGGUUAUUACAAAAAGUGCCUUCAAGGAUUAUGGUGUAGUAAAUGAAAUGCCCUUGUCCCGGGCCUUACAAUUCCAGAAUGAUCACAUAGCGUCCUCUGCUGGCCAACUAACGAAAAUACAUUUUCACGUUCUUAUCUAUAAUAUUUUACGUGGGUAAAAGAAGACGUAGACUUAGAAGAAGUAGAAAAAUAUAUUAAAUAGAAAUUCAAGUCAGUUCUU